GCGCUCGCUCUCUGUCUCUGUCUCUCUCUUUCGCGCCUCAGCUCGGCGGCGUCCAUCCGUAUGAGGGGGGGGAGAGAGAUAGCGGAGACACGCACAAAUGUAGAAAAGGCGCCUACACACUGGGGUCUCCCGGGGCAAGUGUCGCUUCAGCGGUCUGUGUGGGUGAGCGGGGAGGUUCGGCGCUCGGGAGUUAUGGCGAGCCGUGAGAAGGGAUUUCCCUUCUUUCCCUCCACCCCCGUUUCUUUUGGGAACAAUGGUUCGCUCCGGCUCCUCCUGCCUGGGGCGGAGCUCUCGCAGGCGAAGCGGAGUGAUGUCAUUUUAGGAGGUUGGGGAGGGCGCCUCCGCUUCGAAGGUGCUCCGAGGGACGUUAGAGGAGCUGCUCCCCCCCCCCGGUCCCAUGUCUCGUGUUGGGAGGGGAAGCACGGGACAAAACAAUUAGCAAUUGUUUUAAUUGGCAAUGAAAUAAUAACUAAUAAAAUAUUUAAUUAUCACAGUGCGUGGGGUGCAUGGAUAUUAUUGUUGCAAUUAAUGGUCAUAAAUUAAUACUUAAUAAUCACAGUAAUUAUUGCAAUAGUUAUCACAGUGCGUAGGGUGCAUAGGAUAUUGUUACAAUUAAUAAUAGAAUAAGCAAAAAGAAUAAUAAAAAAUAAUCACAGUAAUUAUUACAAUAAUUAUCACAGUGCUUAGGGUGCAUAGGAUAUUAUUGUUACAAUUAAUGGUCAUGAAUUAAUAAAAUAGUCACAGUAAUUAUUGCAAUAAUUAUCACAGUGCAUAGGGUGCAUAGGAUAUUGUUACAAUUAAUAAUAAUAAAAUAAUUUAUAAUCACUGUAAUUAUUACAAUAAUUAUCACAGUGUGUAGGGUGUAUGCAGGAUCAAGCCAUAUGUACACGAGCCAUAAUUAUUAAAGCAAAAUGCUUGCGUAUGGCUUGAUCCUCUACACCUUAUGUAUCCUGUCUAAAGGAAGGGUAAAUAGGAUUACAGUUGUAAGGGAGGGGGGGCAGAAUCCCGGCUACAACCUUGUUCUUUUCCACUAGCACCCCCAGCUCAAACCCACUCCCUGAGGCGAAGGAAGUCAAAGGCAAGACCUCCGGCCUGAGAGCUGCUGUCUGUUCGAAUACAGAAGUCGUUCUGACUUAGGAAAUCCGUGGAAAGGGAAGAAAGUGCCCUGGAACUGUUCCUUCUCCGGCUGAUUGGAAGGAGAACAGCUAUUCGCCAUGAUGGCUAAAACUGAACUUAAAUGUACAGAAGAAGUAUAUCUUGGAAUACCAGAGGCUGAGAGAAAAAAUGAGGAACGGCAUAUCAUUUUCACAUUCUGCUUUGUUGGGCUGCUGUUUGAUUGCUUUUGGAAACAGAAUUCUUGAUUAGCUGGACUUUGGUGUCGUCUAUGAAGAUAAUUAUUAUAGAUCAGUGGUUCCCCCAGAAUUUUUCCUUCUGGACCACUUGAAGAUCGGUGAGGGGCCUUCGUUGAACACUUCUUUUUCUUUUGGCCUGUUGUGGCAAUUGUAACGCACAGUGCUAGGUGCUGAGCAAUUUUAAAUUGCAUUUAAAUUGCUUCAUUUAGUUCUUAUAUAUUAUGCUAUUGUAUUACAAUUUCAGGAAUUAAAAAUCAAUAGGAAUAUUUAACGCAAUGAAUGUGCCAUCUCCACAAAUCCAGACACACUGCAUACCACCUAAAUGUAACAAUUUGAGAACCCUGUAUAAAUCUUGUGUUCAAGUCGACCUGGAGUCAAAUCCCUGCUCAAAGAGGAAGCUCAUUCUCAGUUUUAGCUAGCUUCGCGGGCUUGUUGUGAAGCCAAAACGCUGUUCUGGGUUCAUUGAUAGAAGGGUGAAAUAAAAUGGAAUGAGCAAAUUAUUCCCUCAAAAGUAAUAGUAUCCAGUGUUGCCACUGAGCAUAUGUGGGAACCGCUUCAACUUUCUGCAUGAAAUCUCAUGAGUGAGUCUGCUGGGUGCAGCUGCCAAUACGUGCCGGAUUAAAUUUUAAAUGCUAUUUUGAACGCCAUUACAAAUUGCAAAGCCAUAGGUUUGUGCUGGCAUGUUUAAAAAACCUACACAUAACCAUGUGCAGCUGAACAUUGGCAUGAGUUGGCACUUAAUUUAAUGGUGGCCCUGCACCCUGAGAGAUACUGUGAGCUGUCCCCAAAACUCACAGGUCUUGCAGGAUGGAGCAACAAGUAGCUAAUUUCUUAACUAGUGUGAUUUAAGUAGUUAAAGAGAGUGUUGGACUAGGGUUGGAAAGACAUCAUGUAACCUCAGGGCAUGUACCAACAUAAUUUACCUCAGUGUGUUAUUGCAAAUAUAAAAGGAGGGGAGAAGGGAAGAACUUUGUCUGGUGCUCCAAGCUCCUUGAAGAAUGGGAGGGAUAAACAUAAUAAAUGAAUUAAAUACAUUUCUAAAAAGGGAGGUAUUGCUAUCAGGACUCAAACCUAUGAAGAAGCAUGUCUUUCCAAACCACAUGCCCCCCCCAAUAGUUUAUAGAUACUUAAGACAUGAGGAAAUUGCCUGCCUCAUAUCAUUAACCAGUUGAAACCCUUUGUGCUCCUCUGACUUUUAAGGGGAAAAAGACAACAAUCAAUAGUUUCUGCUGAAGAACAAUGCUUAGAAACAAAAUACUAUAUUCAGCUUUGAAAUAAUAAAGCAAAUUGUCUUUCUCCUGAGCGAAUUCAAAUGUAGAUUAAAAAGAGAACAGAUAUAAUAGUACUCACUUAACUGCUUUUCAGUUUUACUGAUGCUCUUGCCUGGAGGCAAAACCUUGUUAAUUUGAACAAAUAGUUUUGGGAAAAGUCAGUAGAUGUUGCUGUUGUUAAAAAAACAAUACUACUGAUGCAGCAAGGUUUGGAAUGUAUUGUAUUCUAAAAUAUUGUGCCAACAAAAGUAGGGUUGUAUAGCAGCUUUGAUUAAACAAGAUCCUCCUUGCAUUUUUCUAUUCUUAUUUACAUCUACCCUGAGUCUUGAAUGCUUCCUCCAUCUGCUUCUACUGCACUGUCACCAACAUGGGAAUAGUUGAGAGGAAAAGGAUGUUGAAAGCAAAAUGGUACUGAUCAGUGUCUGAGUGAUCAUGUUGUUUUUAUAGAACAAGAAACAAAAUUAUGUACUCUGACAUAUUACUGAUAAGAAUGGAAGCUUUUGCGUCGUAUAGAACUCUUGUCAGGUUGAAUGUAGAGAAUAAAGAAACUUAAGAGUCUGUGGAUUGUUAUCAAAUAAUCUUAUGCCAUUUUAAAUUUGCUAAUUUUUAAGAUGCCAAAAUUCUCUUUUUGCUUCAACUGUUUAACAUGACUACUCCCUGGGAAAUUGUUACAUGAGAAUAAAAAAA